rnacentral:tRNA from 1 species
GACCCGGUAGCUUAAAGGGAUAAAGCUGCGGAAAAAUUACGUCGCCGCGGAGUGUAUGGAACAUAUCGUUGCAGACAUGCUUUGCAAUGAUCAGAAUUUACAGUGCACCGAAAUCAUAGUAGGGAAGCGUAUUUACAGCCCAUGAAAAUGCAGGUUCGAAUCCUGUCCGGGUUA